rnacentral:rRNA from 1 species
CCCUUAGAUGUUCUGGGCCGCACGCGCGCUACACUGACGGAGGCAGCGAGCGUGUCCUUCGCCGGCAGGUGCGGGCAAUCUUGCGAGUCUCCGUCGUGCUGGGGAUAGAUGGUUGCAAUUGUCGAUCUUGAACGAGGAAUUCCUAGUAAGCGCGAGUCAUCAGCUCGCGCUGAUUACGUCCCUGCCCUUUGUACACACCGCCCGUCGCUACUACAGAGUGCCCGUGUCCAAGAAACGGUCGGACCUGUGCGGCCUCUCCGGGCGACCGGAGGGCCGUUACGGGGAAGACCCUUUAUUUGACGCGGGUCGUUGAAGUAAAAGUCGUAACA